CCUACGGGUGGCUGCAGUGAGGAAUAUUGGUCAAUGGUCGUAAGACUGAACCAGCCAAGUAGCGUGCAGGAUGACGGCCCUAUGGAUUGUAAACUGCUUUUAUGCGGGGGUAAAAUGCGUCACGCGUGAUGUUUUGUAGGUACCGCAUGAAUAAGGACCGGCUAAUUCCGUGCCAGCAGCCGCGGUAAUACGGAGGGUUCGGGCGUUAUCCGGAUUUAUUGGGUUUAAAGGGAGCGUAGGCGGCAGGGUAAGCGUGCGGUGAAAUGCCGGGGCUCAACCAUGGCACUGCGGCGGGAACUGGCUUGCUUGAGUGCGUGGAAGGUAUGCGGAAUUCGUGGUGUAGCGGUGAAAUGCUUAGAUAUCACGCAGAACUCCGAUUGCGAAGGCAGCAUACGGCAGCGCUACUGACGCUGAAGCUCGAAGGCGCGGGUAUCGAACAGGAUUAGAUACCCCGGUAGUC
rnacentral:rRNA from 1 species